AGAGUUUGAUCCUGGCUCAGGACGAACGCUGGCGGCGUGCCUAACACAUGCAAGUCGUGCGAGAAAGCCCCUUCGGGGGUGAGUACAGCGGCGGACGGGUGAGUAACACGUGAGUGAUCUACCCGGCGAUGGGGGACAACCCAGGGAAACCUGGGCUAAUACCGCAUACAGCGGAGGGAGUAGGUGCCCUUCGUGAAAGCUGGCCUCUCCAUGGAAGCUAGCGUCGCCGGAGGAGCUCGCGGCCUAUCAGCUUGUUGGUGGGGUAACGGCCUACCAAGGCUAUGACGGGUAGCUGACGUGAGAGCGUGAGCAGCCACACUGGGACUGAGACACGGCCCAGACUCCUACGGGAGGCAGCAGUGGGGAAUAUUGCGCAAUGGGCGAAAGCCUGACGCAGCGACGCCGCGUGGGGGAGGAAGGCCUUAGGGUUGUAAACCCCUGUCAGGUGGGACGAAACCCGGGUCGGUAAAUAAUCGGCUCGACUGACGGUACCACCAGAGGAAGCUCCGGCUAACUCCGUGCCAGCAGCCGCGGUAAUACGGGGGGAGCGAGCGUUGUUCGGAAUCACUGGGCGUAAAGGGCGCGUAGGCGGCCGAGUAAGUCGUGUGUGAAAGACCGGGGCUCAACUCCGUGUACUGCAUGCGAUACUGCUCGGCUAGAGAAAGGUAGAGGCGAGUGGAAUUCCCGGUGUACGGUGGAAUGCGUAGAUAUCGGGAAGAACACCUGUGGCGAAGGCGGCUCGCUGGGCCUUUUCUGACGCUGAAGUGCGAAAGCGUGGGGAGCAAGCAGGAUUAGAUACCCUGGUAGUCCACGCCGUAAACGAUGGGCACUAGGCGUUGGGAGGAUUGACCCUCUCAGUGCCGUAGCUAACGCGUUAAGUGCCCCGCCUGGGGAGUACGGCCGCAAGGCUGAAACUCAAAGGAAUUGACGGG
rnacentral:rRNA from 1 species